UGGGUCGUUAGCUCAGUCGGUAGAGCAGUUGGCUUUUAACCAAUUGGUCGCUGGUUCGAAUCCAGCACGACCCACCAU
rnacentral:tRNA from 1 species